AGAGUUUGAUCCUGGCUCACGAUGAACGUUGGCGGUGUGCCUAAUACAUGCAAGUCGAACGGAGUUAAUAGCAAUAUUGACUUAGUGGCGAACGGGUGAGUAACGCGUUGGUGAUCUGCCUCGAAGUGUGGAAUAACGUUCCGAAAGGAUCGCUAAUACCGCAUGUGCUCUCGAUUUUUAGAAAGUUGAGAGUAAAGGAUUUAUUCGCUUCGAGAGGAGCCUGCGUCCCAUCAGCUGGUUGGUAGGGUAACGGCCUACCAAGGCUAUGACGGGUAGGGGACCUGAGAGGGUGGCCCCCCACAAUGGAACUGAAACACGGUCCAUACACCUACGGGUGGCAGCAGUAGGGAAUAUUAGAAAUGGACGAAAGUCUGAUCUAGCAACACCGCGUGUGCGAAGAAGGCCUUCGGGUCGUAAAGCACUUUUUGGAAGGAAUAGGAAGGAAUGUACUUCCAGAAUAAGUCUCGGCUAACUACGUGCCAGCAGCCGCGGUAACACGUAGGAGGCAAACGUUAUCCGGAUUUACUGGGCGUAAAGCGCGUGUAGGUGGUACUGUAAGUAGGGCGUGAAAGCUCCCGGCUCAACUGGGAGAGGCCGUUCUAAACUGCAGAACUAGAGGAUGGUAGAGGGAGGUGGAAUUCCAGGUGUAGCGGUGGAAUGCGCAGAUAUCUGGAGGAACACCAGUGGCGAAGGCGGCCUCCUGGACCAUUCCUGACACUCAGACGCGAAAGCUAGGGUAGCAAACGGGAUUAGAGACCCCGGUAGUCCUAGCCCUAAACGAUGUAGACUAGGCGUCGGUGGUUUAAUCACCAUCGGUGUCCAAGCUAACGCGAUAAGUCUACCGCCUGGGGACUACGGCCGCAAGGUUAAAACUCAAAGGAAAUUGACG
rnacentral:rRNA from 1 species